rnacentral:rRNA from 1 species
UAGGGAAUCUUCCACAAUGGACGAAAGCCUGAUGGAGCAACGCCGCGUGAGUGAAGAAGGGUUUCGGCUCGUAAAGCUCUGUUGUUAAAGAAGAACGUGGGUAAGAGUAACUGUUUACCCAGUGACGGUAUUUAACCAGAAAGCCACGGCUAACUACGUGCCAA